rnacentral:rRNA from 1 species
UACGGGGGGGGCAAGCGUUGUUCGGAAUUACUGGGCGUAAAGGGUUCGUAGGUGGCCGACUAAGUCAAACGUGAAAUCCCUCAGCUUAACUGGGGAACUGCGUCUGAUACUGGUCGGCUUGAGUGCAGGAGAGGAACGCGGAAUUCCAGGUGUAGCGGUGAAAUGCGUAGAUAUCUGGAGGAACACCGGUGGCGAAGGCGGCAUUCUGGACCAAUACUGACGCUGAGGAGCGAAAGCCAGGGGAGCAAACGGG